rnacentral:tRNA from 1 species
GAAGGCAUAGCUCAGUGGUAGAACAUCUACUUCGCACGCACAAGGUCCUGGGUUCAAUCCCUGGUAUCUCCA